CAAGCGUCCAGAAUCCUGCCCUGACCCCACCCUGCUGCAGGGACAGUCGUUUCUGGCCACCGAGAUGGACCGUCCCCAAAUGAGGCUCUGCUGGACUGAGGAAUGGACACGGCAGCCCAGGGGACACUCGCGGGGUCCCAAGGAACUUACCCAACAAAGCAAGGGCCUGGCAGGUGUGCCGUCUCUGCGCUAUGUGCCCAGGCCAGGCCAGCUCCUUGACUGUCUCCUCGCCCUGAAAAACAGCCCAUGGCUGGGCUGGCAGCCACCCGGGCUCCAGGCCAGAGCUCCAGGCUUGCACUGUGGGCUCCAGUACUCACUGGUGCGCUAGUCUCUCCCAGGCUUGUGGUCCUGGCACCUGCAACCAGGGGCAACUCCUGGCCCCGCCCUGCCCCGCCCACUCAGGGCUUUGUUCUGUAAGUAGGGGAAUGUGGAGAGGCCUGGGUGGGCUUGGCCUGGCAGCGGGAGCCCUCUGACUCAGAGCAGAGGUGCUGCCCCCUCCUCCCUCUCCCCUCCAGAGCCUUGGUACCCUAAGGAGCCGCCUCCUUGCCUCUCCUGGGAAUGCCAGAAGAUUCCUCUGAGCAGCCCCAGCCUGCUCCAGGAACGCGAGAUGCCUACAUGCCACAUGUUACAACAUCCACGCCGAUGCGAACCUUGUGUCCCUACUGUGGGAACUACGUCAUGACCAGGACGACCCCUGUGCCCGGCAUGCUCUCCUGGGUGCUGUGCCUGGGCCUCUGUGUGUUUGGGUGCUUCCUGGGCUGCUGCCUGAUCCCUUUCUGUGUGAGAAGCCUCAUGGACGUGAGGCACACGUGUCCCGUGUGCAGACAGACGCUCUUCCACCACCGCCGCCUGUGACCGCCAGAAUAAACAUGCACUUCACCCCA